rnacentral:rRNA from 1 species
AGUGAACGCUGGCGGUAGGCCUAACACAUGCAAGUCGAACGGCAGCACAGUAAGAGCUUGCUCUUACGGGUGGCGAGUGGCGGACGGGUGAGGAAUACAUCGGAAUCUACUUUUUCGUGGGGGAUAACGUAGGGAAACUUACGCUAAUACCGCAUACGACCUACGGGUGAAAGCAGGGGAUCUUCGGACCUUGCGCGAUUGAAUGAGCCGAUGUCGGAUUGGCUAGUUGGCGGGGCAAAGGCCCACCAAGGCGACGAUCCGUAGCUGGUCUGAGAGGAUGAUCAGCCACACUGGAACUGAGACACGGUCCAGACUCCUACGGGAGGCAGCAGUGGGGAAUAUUGGACAAUGGGCGCAAGCCUGAUCCAGCCAUACCGCGUGGGUGAAGAAGGCCUUCGGGUUGUAAAGCCCUUUUGUUGGGAAAGAAAAGCAGCAGGUUAAUACCCCGCUGUUCUGACGGUACCCAAAGAAUAAGCACCGGCUAACUUCGUG